rnacentral:rRNA from 1 species
GUGGGGAAUAUUGCGCAAUGGGGGCAACCCUGACGCAGCAACGCCGCGUGCGGGACGAAGGCCUUCGGGUUGUAAACCGCUUUCAGCAGGGAAGACAUCGACGGUACCUGCAGAAGAAGCCCCGGCUAACUACGUGCCAGCAGCCGCGGUAACACGUAGGGGGCGAGCGUUAUCCGGAUUCAUUGGGCGUAAAGCGCGCGCAGGCGGCGCGCCAAGCGGGACCUCUAAUCUGGGGGCUCAACCCCCAGCCGGGUCCCGAACUGGCGCGCUCGUGUCCGGUAGGGGAGGUCGGAAUUCCCGGUGUAGCGGUGGAAUGCGCAGAUAUCGGGAGGAACACCGAUGGCGAAGGCAGACCUCUGGGCCGCGACAGACGCUGAGGCGCGAAAGCUAGGGGAGCGAACAGGAUUAGAAACCCCAGUAGUCC